AGAGUUUGAUCAUGGCUCAGAAUUAACGCUGGCGGCAUGCCUAACACAUGCAAGUCGAGCGAGAAACCGCCCUUCGGGGUGGGAGUACAGCGGCGCACGGGUGAGUAGCGCGUGGGUAAUCUACCUCUAUCUGGGGGAUAACACACCGAAAGGUGUGCUAAUACCGCAUAAACUGGCAAACCUGCGGGGAAGUCGGGAAAGAUGGCCUCUUAUUAAAGCUGUCGGAUGGAGAUGAGCCCGCGUCCCAUUAGCUUGUUGGUAGGGUAACGGCCUACCAAGGCGACGAUGGGUAGCUGGUCUGAGAGGACGACCAGCCACACUGGAACUGGAACACGGUCCAGACUCCUACGGGAGGCAGCAGUGAGGAAUAUUGCGCAAUGGGGGAAACCCUGACGCAGCGAUGCCGCGUGGGUGAAGAAGGCUUUCGGGUCGUAAAGCCCUGUCAGGUGGGAAGAACAGUCUCUUAUUGAACAGAUAGGAGGCCUGACGGUACCACCGAAGGAAGCACCGGCUAACUCCGUGCCAGCAGCCGCGGUAAGACGGAGGGUGCAAGCGUUAUUCGGAAUCAUUGGGCGUAAAGAGUGUGUAGGCGGCCGGUUAAGUCAGGUGUGAAAGCCCAGGGCUCAACCCUGGAAGUGCACUUGAAACUGGUCGGCUUGAGUUCGGGAGAGGGUAGCGGAAUUCCUGGUGUAGAGGUGAAAUUCGUAGAUAUCAGGAGGAACACCGGUGGCGAAGGCGGCUACCUGGACCGAAACUGACGCUGAGACACGAAAGCGUGGGGAGCAAACAGGAUUAGAUACCCUAGUAGUCC
rnacentral:rRNA from 1 species